UACAGAGGGUGCGAGCGUUGUCCGGAAUCACUGGGCGUAAAGGGCGCGUAGGCGGCCCGGUAAGGUUGCGGUGAAAGCCCGGGGCUCAACUCCGGAAUUGCCUUUAAAACUGCAUCGCUAGAAUUGUGGAGAGGUAAGUGGAAUUCCGAGUGUAGAGGUGAAAUUCGUAGAUAUUCGGAAGAACACCAGUGGCGAAGGCGACUUACUGGACACAUAUUGACGCUGAGGUGCGAAAGCGUGGGGAGCAAACAGG
rnacentral:rRNA from 1 species